rnacentral:rRNA from 1 species
AUUGAACGCUGGCGGCAGGCCUAACACAUGCAAGUCGAACGCGAAAACCCCUUCGGGGGCAAGUAGAGUGGCGAACGGGUGAGUAACGCGUAGGAAUCUACCCAGGAGUGGGGGACAACCCGGAGAAAUCCGGGCUAAUACCGCAUAUGCCUACGGGGUAAAGUGGGGGACCUUUAGGGGCCUCACGCUUUUGGAUGAGCCUGCGUCGGAUUAGCUUGUUGGUAAGGUAACGGCUUACCAAGGCGACGAUCCGUAGCUGGUCUGAGAGGAUGACCAGCCACACUGGGACUGAGACACGGCCCAGACUCCUACGGGAGGCAGCAGUGGGAAUAUUGGACAAUGGGGGCAACCCUGAUCCAGCCAUGCCGCGUGUGUGAAGAAGGCCUUCGGGUUGUAAAGCACUUUCAGUAGGGAAGAAAAGCCUGAGGUUAAUACCCUUGGGUCUUGACGGUACCUACAGAAGAAGCACCGGCUAAUUCCGUG